AUACGUAGGGAGCGAGCGUUGUCCGGAAUUACUGGGCGUAAAGGGCGCGUAGGCGGCGCUUCAAGUCGUCUGUCAAAUGGGAGGGCUUAACCCUUUUUCGCAGACGAAACUGGAGAGCUUGAGAAGCAGAGAGGCAAACAGAAUUCCUGGUGUAGCGGGGAAAUGCGUAGAUAUCAGGAAGAAUACCAGUGGCGAAGGCGGUUUGCUGGCUGCAUACUGACGCUGAAGCGCGAAAGCCAGGGGAGCAAACGGGAUUAGAUACCCCGGUAGUCCUGGCAGUAAACGAUGUAUGCUGGGUGUGAGACUAGCGAUAGUUUCGUGCCGAAGUUAACGCGAUAAGCAUACCGCCUGGGGAGUACGGUCGCAAGAUUGAAACUCAAAUGAAUUGACGGGG
rnacentral:rRNA from 1 species